AAGAGUGCUUCUUGACGCUUCCACCGUGGACGCCACACGGACGCGCUUCGCACCAGGUGAGCGCUCGGGACCGAUUCGACCCGACCCCGCACGAACGCCGUUCAUGGCCUGCCGCGACGAAAGGCCGCUCAGUUGCUUCCAGGCCUGUGAAGGGUAGUGAUACUCGCAGGCGCUCUGGCUCUAUAUCGACCGCGUGUUUCUUGCCACUGGGAAAUUUGACUGCGAAUUUCGAGUGUGACUGUGUCUGUUUGUGCCGACUCUGACGUAGUAUAUCCGUGCAUAACUGUUCUGUGUUUGCUGCAACUUCAGAAAUUCGUAGCCGCCACCAAGGCGAACUAGACUGGAGUGAAAUGCUCGCAGGACAAAACGAUUUGAACCAUUGCUAGAAUUGUUGUGGGGGAUAUUUUAGAGCGACUUUCUGUCACGCCGCCACUGAUUCAUAACUUGGAUUCGUGCAAGGGUUAUAGUUACUGCACAUAAGAUAAAACGAUCACCGUGCCUCUAUGAAUUCUUCAGUCAAGGGUGGGUGGUGAGAUCCUUUGCAAGAGUUCUGAUAUCGUGAAAGUUCUUGGAUAGAUCAUUUUUGUGUUAAAAGUGGGCGCUCCUGAAGGCGCUAUUACCGGCAAACUGGCAGCCAGCGCCCUAGCCGCUAUGAACCCUCACUACCACUCCUACGGAGGUCCGGAGCUGACGUCUCCGCACCCUCCGUCGCCAGACAACAACAACUACCACGCUCAUCCGGGACCUGGAGGACCUCAACUGCGCAUGCAUCAGUCAAAUGGACACGGAAUAGGUCCUCUAGGUCAUCCCAGCGGUCCCCAUGAUGGCCACCCUCACAAUCAUCACCCACACCCCCCGUUCGGCGGCCCACAAUCAGAUGGUCCUCAUCAUCAGCAUCAUAAUCCAAAUAUCAAUAAUAACAAUAAUAACGGCACGGUGAAAGUAUGUGCAGGGUGCGGUGGUAAAAUAGUGGAACGUUUCCUUCUGCACGCGUUAGAUCGCUAUUGGCACAAUAGCUGUUUGAAGUGUUCGUGUUGCGCGGCUAUGUUAGCAGACAUCGGGACAUCGUGCUUCACAAAAGGUGGAAUGAUCCUCUGCAAAACGGACUAUACGAGGUUAUUUGGAAACUCAGGAGCGUGUUCAGCGUGCGGCCAAAUGAUUCCAGCUAGUGAAUUUGUCAUGAGAUCAGGAGGACCAUCGCCUCAACAACCUGGAGCGCCCCCUCACGUUUUCCACCUCAAAUGUUUUGUGUGUAGCAAGUGUGGCGCCCCCCUAGUACAAGGUGAUCGCUACUACAUGCUAUCAGGAAGUCUCGUUUGUGAACAAGACUGGCACAAGUUACUUAAAAGUUCGGCCGCCACACCUACGGUUCGCAAAGGGAAAGUGGGAAGGCCUCGUCGGAGCCGCGACUGAAUAGAGCCGUACAUUCACGCUGUCCCAGCACUUGAUGAUUGAUGACUGUCAUUUCACAUGAGACGCCAAUGGUCAUAGUUCCCAGUUAACAGAAAAUGACCCGUGGUUUGACGCCGCAACAUACAUCGAUAAUGGGACAUCCCUACCUCCUCCAGAAUAGUUUCCUGCCACUGGCUAUGAUGAAUGAAGUCAGGUUUUCCUAUGGACAACGAAACUUCUUGUACAGUGAUAAUCACGAGUGAUGGGUUGCAAGUCCCGCUCUUUUUGUAAAAUAUGACGCGUGAAAGUCGGACUUCCACCGAAGCAGUGUACAAAUUUUGUUAGAAAUAAAUAUAUAGUGUUAUCCGAACUUUGUUAUGCGAGAAUUAACGGUCUCAAGCCAUACUCUAUGACGACGUAGCUAAUGGGACUCAAUUCAGUGUACUUAACAUGUUGAAGUUUGUUGUAGAGCGCGAAUGUGAGCGCGGAUGUCAACCACUUUUUUAUUGUGUAAAUAGUUUUAAAAUAAGGAUUGCAAUAAGGCGCUGAUAUUACAAGGGAAAUAAUGGAAAAAAUGUAAAUGAUAUUUAUGUACAUCACGUCGACGGAUUUCACUUCUAUGGAGAGAUCCAGAGUUUUCCGCGAUCUUGCCCCGAGCUGAAAUUUUGUGAUUAUAUUGUAUAAAUUAUUGUAUUAUGGUUUUAUUUCUCGUUGCUCUUGUUGUUACUAGUUAAUAUUUUUAAUUAUUCUUGAUUGAUAUUUGUUUUAUUUUGUGCACUCGAGAAUCUCUCGGUUUUUUAACCCGGACAUUGUUGUUCUUUAAUUUGGAAAUCUCUUGUUAAAAGUACUGAAGGAAAACUCCUCUGCUCAUACAAUGUUUACUUCGUUAAAACUUAAAAUUGUGUGCAAUAAACCAAAACUCCUGCCCCAAACACUCAGUCACAUCUGUAAUAAACUUCAUCAUUCUCACCUUGUUUCACUUUUAAUAAAGGUCAUACACUGAAAUGAUUUGCUCAAAUAUUUCUAUAUCAAAGUUUUGUUUCAUUCUGUGUGCAUUCCACAAUAAAACGAAUUUAAUUCA